rnacentral:lncRNA from 1 species
UACUACUAAUAAAUAGAGAGCCAUUGGGAUACACCCCCAGCUGACUCGAACUGUCUAAAAAGAAUGCUGAAUCAUCUAAGCUGAAAAUCUGAAUAACUAAGUCCCCGAACUAUGAUGACUCACCAACUAUCAGACUGUAGAUACUCGAAAUUACUCAUGCUGUUGGAACUGAGCACCUGAACCUACAUUAUGAGACAAUGUAACACAGACGUAUAUGUGGAUUAGUACUUUUAGGAUGUACUGAGUAUAUGGUUGCAAGCAUAAUUGAUAAUGCCUAGUGGUAAAAAAAUGACACCUUAGUUUAAUGGAUGGGAAUGUGUAAAUGGUUUUAAUUGGGCUUAAUGGGGUUGUGUAGCUCAAGCUGAAGGUCUUAGUCUCAGGGAAGAUGAAUACUGAAAAUCACAUUUACCGAUGUGGGGGUCUUUAUGAUCUUGUGCAUAGUUCACACUUGAUAUGUUUAUAUCUUAGAUUGGUAUGGGGUCAUGGAUUCCCUGACCUUCUUUGGAUUUCCUGGUUCUUGCGGUUACACGCAUUGGGGCCCUUCCAAUGGGAGGAGCCGGACCUGUUAGCCUGUGGGUGCCUUUAGGUUGGUUGGAGAUACACACUCCAGGAUAAUGUGUUAAAUCUCAUGUUAAGUCCUAUUUCCUAUCUCAACAUUUUAUAUAUCUGUAUAUAUGCAUGUAUGUGAACAUGUACAUUGAGUAUGGACUUGAUUUUUAAAUAACAUUACUUUAUUCCUAUCUCGAGUUACAUGCUAGCGAUCUCCUUGCUAACCAUCCUAGGACGCUACAUUGUUUUAUAAUGUAGGGUCCGAGGAUACCUCUUUUGCCCAUGUGUAGCUUUUGGUGACCGGGUUCGUCAGUUGGUUCGCGGUGAAGUGGUAAACUUCCAUCCUCCAAAAAACUUAGCCAUUCCAUCGAUUUAUUUCCAUAUUAUAGAAUUAAAGAGUUCACAUUAGCAUUAUCAUUAUAAUUGUCACCAUCAUGGUUGGGGGCAUGUCCCGAUCUAGUUUUAUAUUCAGAUUGUUUUAGAGGCUUUUGUGAAAACCUAUGGAUUGGGAUAUUUGUUUGGAAUCGUAGAAUCUUCGUCUUGGUGUAUUUAUCUUUUAUAUGUUCGUUUGGAUUGCUUUCACUAUUAUACUAUAUUGUGUUCUGAUUGGCUAGGCUUAGUGGGUGGCUUUCUGUCCUCGAUGGACUUGAGAUACCCGUCACAACUAGGCCCUGAUUCAGGUCGUGAUAGUAAGGGUUGUUAAAAUUCAAUUGAUUUUUCAUAGAGUUCAAAUGCUUUACAGACAUCACAAAUUCUUUUUAAUUGCCUUGAUAGAACCUUUCUAAGACAUAAGGAAAUUCAAAGAUACAAAAGAAGGUUGGGGAUGCAGUAUGUGAAUUAUAAUCAAAAUGGUCAGAUAUAGUUUUUUGUGCAAGAGCAUAUUCAAGUGGGAGUGAUUGUCAAUUUUGAGCAACAACUUUCAUUACACCUCACAGUGGAAUAUGAUAAGUAGACGAUGACUACAGUGGUAUAUGCCAAAUAUUAUACUUUAGAGAGUCUAGUCUAUGCGAUGAUUUGUAUGCCAUUGGGUACAAUCUUUCCUUUCCUUGGUUAUAGGGGCAGAGUUGAAUGUCAUUUUAUAUGAUGAAGAAAAAUUGGUGGGCUACCCGUAUAUCCUUAUGCAUUUGAGGACUUUAGCUUAUGUAUAAAUUGUGAGUUUUUUGAGAUUAGUGUCACCGGGAACCCUUUCACCUGGAUGAAUGGUAGAGCUGAUGAAGAAUAUAUUUUCAAAACGCUCGACAGAAUCAUGAAUUAGGCUGUAUAGGACAUAUUUGGGAAUAUAAAAUGUAAUAUUUGACUAUAACUGAGUCUGAUCAUGCCCCUUUAAUGCUCAAGGAGAAAUUCAGUAAUUCUCAAAACCUCUUAGGUUUUUAAAGUUCUGAAUAGAAAAAGAUGAUUUUAAAAAGUGGUUAGGCAUAUUCGGAGGGCAGAUGAAUAUGGGGAUUGCUUCAAAAGAUUGAAAUACAAGCAGAAGAGAGCUAAAUAUGCACUGUCUAAGUGGAGUAGAGACAUCUUUGGGGAUCUAUUUAAACAACUAAGCAUCAGGGAAGAGAUUGUGAAGUUAAAGGAGGGCCUAUUUGAUGACAACCAAGUGCAACGAAUAUGGCUAUUUUAUAGCAUAUACAAGUUGAACAAAAGUAAUAUCUCCACUGUAAGGAGGAAUUUUUCAUACAAAAGGCUAGUAUCCAGUGGUUCACUAAAAGGGGAUAAAAAUAUAAAUUUUUUCCAUUGUCUGGUGAAAGAAGAAGAAAGAAAUUACAAUUGAAGAGAAGUUUAAAGCAUGAUGGUACUUGGGUUGAAGGAGAUGAGCAGAUUGCUAAUGAAGCAAUGAACUUUUUCCAAAACCGAUUCUCAGGAGAGCUCUUUACUGACGAACAUUGUUAUAACAUAUCCCAUCAUUAAUUAUUAAAAAAGAUAACAUUAUGCUCAUGUAACGCCCUAAAAAUGAGUCCCGAGACAUCACACGGUGCUCAAGACUAUGAGUAGCCUUAAACUAACCUUGUCUACCUUCUAUUAAGUUUGAAUCUCAUAAUAAGUAAUAUAGAUAUCAAAAUCAUACUGAAAGCAGAAACUAUCUGAAUGUAAUAUCCGAAAAUAAUGUCUGGAACCUUAAUACUGAAUAAUCUGAAUUAAAACUAUCAAGACUACGAGUAGCCUUAAGCUAACCUUGUCUGCCUUCUACUAAGUUUGAAUCUCAUAAUAAGGUAAUAUAGAUAUCAAAAUCAUACUGAAAACAGAAACUAUUUGAAUGUAAUAUCCGAAAAUAAUGUCUGAAACCUUAAUACUGAAUAAUCUGAAUUAAAACUAGUAGUCUGAUAAUCCUCUACUACUAAUAAUAAAUCGAGGGGCAGAGUAGAAUAACUUUAACAUACAAAUUUGAUGCCUCAAGUUACACAGUUAGAUUCGCUGAACAGAUUCGUAAUUUCUCCUCCAAAGGCUAGAUAGACGGAAAGAAUGAUCCUCAUUUAGAUGACUAUUAGAGAUAUUGUCUUGUUGCUGGAAAAAAGGCCCUCAAUGAUGGAAAACAAAAUUUGGGUCAGGUUAUGGGUUGGUCCAAAUUGGUGGGUCGGGUUAUGGGUUGGUCCAAAUUGGUGGGUCGGGUUAUGGGUUGUAACGGAGGGUAUAUUUGGACCUUUUUGCAAGGUUAAGGGGUAUAUUUGCUCUUAAACUUUAAGAGCGAGAGCAUAUUUGGGCCAAACUUGUAACAGAGGGUAUAUUUGGACCUUUUCGCAAAGUUUAGGAGUAUAUUUGCUCCUAAACUUUAACAGCAAGGGCAUAUUUAGACCAAACUUGUAACGGAGGGUAUAUUUGGACCUUUUUGCAAAGUUAAGAGGUAUAUUUGACCCUUUACCCUUUGUAAAAUAAUGCAUGCCAAAUGUAAAUGACUCACAUAAGCUGGAAUAUCUGAAAUACUGAAAUCUAUAAUCAUGAAUAACAAAUAAUUAGUGAGUCAUAACAUUUAGUUCUAAAAGUCGUACUAGUAUUAUGUCUGUAAAUCAUGCUGCCUAAGUGUAGAAAGGACUCACUUCUGUAUCUGAAAUCUGAAAGCUGAAAUCUAUAGCUAAUAUCUUUUGGUAAAGCAUAAUCUGAAUAAAGUUGUGAGCCUUUACACGUAGUUUUCUAAAAGUUUUUUUAUUACUAGUAGGAAGAAUACUUUAUCUAAAGGGAGGUUCUUCUAACCGACAUAAACCAUGUGAGCUAACAUGGAGUCCAACGUCUUGCUCCCCUAUGGGGAAAACCUCACGAUAGGGAGAGGUGUCAACUCUUGCCAAGGAGUAUAACCUAAUCUAAGUGAUCAUAUAUGUGUCUGUCAUCCAUAUAGAAAUGGGAAUAAUCUGAAUCUGUACCUACGUUGGCUACGUAGUUCUGUGGAAAAUAGGGCACGCUAAUCCCACACUUCUAGCUCAGUGCUAAAUACUACUCCCUUUUAAUCUGUAUGCACAUUCUGUUGGAAAUCCACUUUAAAAGCUAGCAUAAGGGUUAUUACAGAACCAAUUAUGCAUUUAUCUGAUUCAACCUGUGAGUAAAACUAUUCUGAUUUUUGAAAUUUGUAAUAAAUCUGUAAAGUGGAUUCCAAAUCUUAUCUGAGGAUCAAAAGAUCAAGGCUUUUUGAAAAUCUGAAAAUAAACUGAUCAUCUAAUGCUUAAAGCGUGAUCUUUCUUGAAAUAAUAAUAUUCAAUCUAGGGAUGAUAACCUAUGCAUCAAUCUCAUGUCAAAACAUCAUAAUAAUCAUGCUUGGUAAUGAAAACAAUGAUAGUUCAUCUCAAAAUCUGGAAAUUACUGCAAUAGGCAUGAAAAUAUGAAAAUAGUCAUGCAAUUCAACUUCUAAAAAACUUGAAAUCUCUUAAUCUUGCAAUUAGCAAUCCUAAUUCAAAAAACUCAUGUAUAAUCAUUCAAAAUCAUAUAAAUUUAAAAUAAAAGCUUGGUUUUGGGAACAAGGAUAAAAGAGGAUCCUUGUUUAUAAACCCUACAUACCUUAAUUGAUGAAAUUUCUAAGAAAGCUUGAACUUGAAUCUCUAUUUGAGCCUUUGAAGAUGAACUCUUGGUUCUCUUGAUUUGAGAAUCCUCAAUUUUGAGUUUUCUUGGAGAAACAAUGGAGGAAAUUGAUUUCUUGGAGAGUAAGGUUUUGAACUUUAGGGUUUUCCUUUGAGAGAGAAUGGAUGAAAAUAAACAUAAAGUGCUUAGAAUAGACUUAAUUCCUUGUUUUGGACGAAUUGGGGCUUGGGAUUUGACCAAAGUACCCCUCUUAAAAUUUAAUCGGAACUGGAAAAAAGAUAAAUUUUCCGAAUUUGCAUGCCACUGCAACGCUCCACUAUCGCGGUGGAUCAUUGGAAUUUGACAACUGAAAACUGGACAUUCUACGCGACGCGGAGCUAUCGCGGUGCACUACUGAAAUGCCAUUUUGGCCAUCACCGUGACGUGCCACUAUCGCAGUGAGCCACUGGAAAUUGACAAUUGGGAAAUAAGGCUUCACCACGACACGGGCUUAUCGCAGAGGUCCACUUAAACCAAACAAUUGCCAUUUUGCAAGUAACCGCGGCGUGAUGCUUCUCCAGUUGGGAUACUACUUUACUAAAAAUGCCAUAACUUCUCAACCGAGUAUCGGAUUUGGGAGAAAUUGGUAUUGAUGGAAAGCUUAUUCAAUUAUAUACACAAUGGUUUCACAUGUAACAAAAAUUAUUCAUUUUUAAAGCUAGCCUUUGACAUUCUAGGUGUUAAAUUGAGAUGGAAAAGUACGGGGUAUUACAGCCCAACGGAUUACCUACAAAUGUAAAGAUCAGAAGGACAAUAUUUGAGUUAAAUGGUGAUAGUGCAUGUGGUCUUGAUGGUUUCAUUGGUUGAUUCUAUCAGAAUUGUUGGGAUAUUGGUGGGGGAGAUAUUAGUGACAUUGUUCAUGCUUUCAUAAAAGGCUCCACUUUACCUAAAUCAAUUUCUCACACUAAUUUGGCGUUACUGCCUUAGAAAGAUGUCAUUCAUAUAUUUUCAAACCUAAGACCAAUUAGCUUUAAGUAAAUUUUGGAAUAAAGUAAUCUCCAGUCUUUCGUAUGAUAGGAUGGACCUUUUCUUCUAGGCUGAUUUCACAUUUCGCAGAACCAAUCAAACUUUGUGAAUGGAAGGAGCAUCACUAAAAAUAUUUUAUUAGCUCAAGAGAUUAUUUCUAAUAUUAGAAAAAAAGGAAACCAACAAAUAUAGUCAUUAGGCUUGACAUGGUAAAGACUUAUGACAAAGUUGAAUGGAAAUUUUUGAUUAAAGUCUUGGAAAAAAUAGGUUUAAUAAAAUAAUUAUGGAUAAGAUUUGGAGAAUUGUGGCUGAUAAUUGGUAUUCUAUUCUAAUUGUUGGACAAGCUCGUAAUUUUUUCCAUUCCACCGAAGGUGUCAAAUAAGGGGAUCCUUUAUCCCCUUUAUUAUUUAUUUUGUCUGUUGACGUGUUAUCUAAAACCACGAAUCAACUAUUUUAUAGUAGAGAAUUCAAGGGUAUUGGAAUACAUAAAUGGAGUGAAAGUUUAAAUCACAUGACCUAUGUUGAUGACAUGAGAAAGUCAUUACAAUUAAAUUUGAAGGUUUUGGAUCAAUAUUAAAUGUAGUCAAGUCAGAAAAUCAACUAAGAAAAACAUUUUUUCUUUAUGUAUAGGUAGGCUGCAACUAAUGUUGUCCAAGAAGUGGAGGUUGUAACUAGUUUUAUAGGGGUAAAUUCCCAAUGAUGUAUUUGGGGUUUCCUAUUGGUCAUGCAAGAAGCAAGACUUUGUUGAACUUAUCAAGAAGAUGCAGAAUAACUGAAUGUAUGGAAAGGUAAGUUACUAUCAUUUGGUGGAAAAUCUGUCCUAAUAAACCAUGUUUCUUCGAGAGUAUCCCUAUCGAGUUAUUGUCUGCUAUCAUUUAUCCUAAAUGUGUAUUGAAGAUUCCAUAGAAUCUUUUCUAAGUUUUUAUGGAAUUUUAUGAAAGAAGAAAAGGCAAAGAACCGAGUGUCAUAGCAGAAUAUCUAUCUUCCCUAAAUUAAAGGUGGUUUAGGUUUUAGAUAUCUUUAUGAUGUGUCAGAGGCUUUAUUUGCUAAAUUGUGGAGGAUUUUUAGGACUAAGUCCUUAUGGGCCAAUUUUAUAAGGAACAAAUAUUGGAAAAGGCUUCUCAAAUAUGGAAACAUAUGCUAUAUAAUGACCCUUAGGUUAUUUUCUGUAUUUCCAUACUAUUGCAAUGUCUAGAGGUUUUCCAUAGUUUCCUCAAGUUAUUUAUGACUUGCUGGAGAUGACAAUUUAGUUACUGGAGAGUUCGUUAAGUUUUUAGAGUCAAUUCCCUAUUUUGAAGUUCUCACUGUUGAGAAUUGGUUAUCGGGCUUAAACUUUAGGUUAACAUCGUCAUAUACCAAUUCUAAUAGUUUUGCUAGAUCUAAAAUGUUGAUUUUAGGCUUGGGGGACCUUUGGUUUGGGUCCUAAGGAUUUCAAACUCGUGUUAGGCUAUUGGGUGGAUUUUGGUUAAAAUAGUCAUUGAGUGUGCGAUCCACAUUUUAUUGAAAUGAACUCAGCUGGAAAUUUUGAUGGCACAGUUGAGAGAAUAUUGAUUUUGGUAGGGUAGCAUAGCUCAUUUGCAUUCACAUAAUUCUGAAUGAAUCCUGAAGGUCCACUCAGAAACUUGACAAAUACCAAGUGUAGUUGGUGCAGCAUCAGCUGGUGCAGCGCAAAAAUAGCCUUCACAUUCAUGAUGGCCAUGGAAAAUUGGCUACCACAAUCAUGAUGACCUUGGCCGCAUCUGCGAAGGCCAAGUUUACUAGCCAUCGCAUUUGCGAGCUUGCCUUCGCAUUCACAAAGAGUAUUCUCUGGGUCGAACUAGGCAUUCUUUCUUGAGAUCGAGGUGGACCGGCCGUGUUCGUGAAGGGUAAGUUGGAUUGAGCCCUGCAUUUGCAGAGGGGUCCUCACCUUCACGAUGAAGGGACCCCAAGCAGUAUAUAUGCUGCCAAACCCAAUUUUUCUCCCAUUUUCAAGUCUCAACUUCCAUUAAUAUCCCUAGAGAGCUAAGAGAGUGAGAGGAUCGAUACAUGGGUGUUUAGGGUGAGUUAGAGAGUUUGGGGGAUGUUUUUCCAUCAAGAAUUAUUGUAAAUUUUCUUAUAUUUCUUAUUUAAGUCUCUACUUUAAUCUCGAAAUCCCUAACACUUUGUGGGCUGAUUUGAGGGAGCAAUUUUGCUCGUAUUCAUCAUUUUUUUAGGAUAAAUGAUCCUUGAGCCUAGAAGAGCGUUUUGGCGGUUUCAAAGUUGUGAUCUUGCAACUAGCCCCACAUGGGAUUUUUAGCUCAAUUUCGGAACCAAAGAAUUUAUAUGCAAUAUGGGUAUUUUUAUUCUUGUAUUAAUGUGUAUAUCAUUAUUUUGAUAGUGUAGCAUCGUACAAAGGCUUCCUGGAAGGUAAAAUCUCUAAUUUAGUGGAUUUUCUUGGGCAUUCUUCGAUGUACAGGUAGGUUAGGCUUACUUUUCUCAUAUAUUGAGCUAUAUUAUUGUACUGGUGUGGUCUUAUGCUAGAUUUGGGUUGGAAAUUAUGACUUGAUUGUAUGUUUAGCGAAAUUUGGAAUAUUUAGCCGAUUAGUGAAUCGUGUUUAGGUAGAAUUGACCUGUUCAUCCUUUCCUUGGAUUAAACUAAGACAUUAGGACAUAUUGGACUUAUUUUACUCCUUGUAGUAGGUCUUGGAAGCCUUAGUCUAGUUUUUGGUAGAAAUUGUCUUAGUAUGAAUUUUUGGGUUUUAGUAGCGGGCUCCGUCGACCCUCUUUAAGGUCAAACAUCUGAAGUAGCUCCCGAUAGAUCUAGGAGGCCUUCUCUCAUUAUUAUAUAAAUAUUCUUGGACCCUAAGAUGAUUUAGUCAAUUUUCAAUUAUCGACUAGAUUUAGUAACCUGUAUUUACUUUAAAGACUGGUUCGAGCCCAACACUUACUAUUCAUUUAUGAUGCUUAAAGACCAAUUUGAGUUUGACAUAUAUUAAUCACUUAUUAUAUAAAAGUUUGGUUUGAGUUUGACAAUUAUGGUUCACUUAUGAUGACUAGGGAUCCGGUUCGAGUCCAAUGUUUGUUGUAUGAAAGGAUUAACAGAUAUGGUUUUGGUGGCCAAUUACUUUAUAAUUACUAUUGUUUUUAUUUUUCCCUUAAUUACGUCCAUUGAGCUUAUGGAGACUCGUUUGGAUUAUCCUUCUCUUGUUUGCGCCUUCUAGGCUUAUGGGGGUCAAGUUAGGCUAUAGUUGACUUGUAUUCUUUUGAUAUUAUCUAUUGUAUUAUUUAUUAUCUAUCAGCUGGAGUGUUGUUUCAGGUUUUCCCUUUUUAUCCCUGACUUUAUUUUACAUUCACGCAUUUUAUUAUGCUUUUAUUAUGAUUUAGCUUAGUUGACUGAUAUGCCUACUGGGUACCCAUUGGUUUUGUACUCCUACUAUGCUUCUGCAUCUUUUUCUAAUACAGAUCCAAGUACUAGCUAUCACCACUGACAUUCUAUCCAGCACAAUCUAGAGUUCGAUGAUAGGGUGAGCUUUUGGAGUCGGAGUUGAUUCUCUCUCCUUAUGUUAGUUUUGGAAAAUCUUUUUGACACUAUUUGUAUAUUGACAUUAUUCAUUCUCUUAUUCUUUUGAUUAGUGACUCUUACCGACCUUACUAGGUCGUGAGAUACUUUUUUGCUCUUUCUCUCUCUUAUUUAUAUAUAUGCCAUCCUUUUAAUAUUAUAUCGCCUACAAUCUAUUUGUAUGCUUAAUUCUCAAUAGUCAUCAUACCUUCCACCAAAUAGCCUAUUAUUUGUCAUUCUGAGUUGUGAUUUGGCUUACCUACUGGUUGGUUAAUGUAAUACCCCAAACUUUUUCAAGCUUAAAUUCAUUCAUAGAAUGUUAUGGGAUAUCUUCCAAAAUGAUUAAUAUUUGUUUCGCAUAGAAUUUUCUAGAUUUCAACUUUUCAUCAUGUGGGAAAUUAAAUAAGCUUUCCAUCGAUAUCAAAUUUGCCCAAAUCCGACACUCGGUGAAGAAGUUAGAGCACUUUUAAGUUGACAGCGUGCCAACUAGGCAGUCACCGCGUCGCGGUGAAGGACAAUUUCAUAAUCUUCACUUACCAGUGGACCACCGCGAUGUUGGCACGUCGCGGCGAGGUCCAAAUUCCCAUUUGUUAAUUUCCAGUGGACCUCUGUGAUAUUGGUGCGUCGCGGAGAGGUCCAUUUUUCCAAUUGUAGAAUUCCGUAGCCUAACGCGAUAGGGGCGUAUCGCACCGAAGGCCAAAAUGGCAUUUCUAUAGGGCACCGCAAUGGUGGCGCAUCGCGUUGAAGUUUCAGGUCCCAAUUGUCAAAACCUAGUGGGACAGCGCAAUAGCUCCGCAUCGCGGUGGACCCCAAUUUCCCAUUCGUCAGUUUUCAGUGAGCCAGCGCGAUAGUGGCACAUCGCGGUGGCCUAUUAAAUCGGGACCCAGUUACGUUUUUUUUUUCAGUUUCGUUUAGAAGUGAAAAAGGGCAUUUUGGACUUUUUCCCAGCACCCAAUUCCAUCUAAACACAAGAUUUAGGGCUAUUACAAACAUCUUAUGGUAUAUUUCUCAAGAUUUCUCUCAACUAAAAACCCUAAGCUUCAACAAUCAACCUCAAGAAUCUCAAGAUUCCACCAUCCUUUUUCCAAAUUAAUUCAAGAUUCCCAACACAAGAAUUCCAAGAACCAUAAUUCAAGAGUACAAAUAGAGUCUCAAAAGCAAGGUUGUUCAUCUAGUUCAACAUCCAAGGUAUGUGGGGUUUGAACAAGGACAAGUCUUUCGUUCUUGUGCCCAAAAAACUUGAAUUUUAUUAAAGAUUACAUGAUUUACAAGUUGGGGUUUAUACCCAAAGCAUCUUGUUUUAAGUUUAUGAAGAUAUAAGUGAUUUAAGCCUUGAAUUGCAUAUUUAUCCCACCUAUUUAUGCUUUGAAUUGAGGAUUUAUAUCAUGAAUUGCACAUUCCCAUUGUGAAUUGAUAUUUUCAAGUGUUUCCAAGAUAAUUGUUGAGAAUUAAGCUUCAUUAUGAAAUUGUGAUCAUUUAAGUACAUAUGCUUUAAACCCAAGUAAGAAUUUUGAUAUUUCAUGAAGAGUAUAUUGUUAGCAUGCUUUAACAAGCAAGCAUUCAGAUUUUAAAGAAAGAUUGAUCUUCCGAACCUAAGCUAAGAUAGGAAUCCACAUUAUUUAUGAUUUAAAGCAAAGAGAACUAUAAUUGGUUUUCAUUAUAAACCCUUGUGCUGUUUUAAGGUGAAUUUCCUAAAAGUUCUGAGCAAUAAGUAUGGGAGUAGUAUUUAGCACUGAGUUGGGUAUGAUUCCAAGGUCUCAUUCCCCAAAACUACGAGCCACGUUGGUUCUAAACGCCCAUAGUAGGCUAAGAUAGUGAUCACUAAAGUUAAGGUUCUAUUCCGAUGGCAAGGGUAGAACAGCUCUCUCCAAUGUGGGCAAGACGUUAGACUCCAUGUCAGCUCACAUGGUUUAUGUCGGUUAGAAGAAACUCCCUGAGUCCCAAAGUCCCUAAGUCCCAAAGUUCCAAGAUUUCCAAAGCUCCCAAAGCUUAUGAGUUUCAAAAGAAAAGAAUGAUAGAAAAACUUUUAUAAGACUAAGUGUUAUGACUCACUAGAUUCACAAGUAUGAUUUGUUAUACAUGAUUUUAUAUUUUGAUAUUUUAGAUAAUCAAGCUUAUGUGAGUCAUAUACAUCCACAUGCAUUUACUUUCUAAUUAUGAUGAUGUUUACUUAUGCAUUACACCCUAUAUACUCAGUACAUCCUUAAAGUGCUGAUCCACAUAUAUGUCUAUGAGCUACAUUGUCUUAUAAUGUAGGUUCAGGUGCUCAGUAUCAUCAACGUGAGUAGUUCAAGCAUCUCUAUCUACGCUCCCACAGUUGGUGAGUCCUCAUGAUUUGAGGGCCUACUUUUUCAGAUUUCCAGCUUUCAUAGUAAUUGAGUUAUCAUUUUAAGUUUAGACCGACUCAGUUGGGGGUCUGUCCCAAUGGCUCUCUAGUUCUUUAGUAGUAAAGGCUCGUCGGACUACGAGUUUAAUUACAGACUUUUAGUAUUUGUUAUUCAGACAGUACGUACGUUUAUUCAGUUCAGUUUUUGGUAUAAUAUAAUAUUAUUUCUUGAUUAGAUUAUCUUAAAGUAAGGUUCAGAUCUAGUAGCAGGCUCAAAGGGUUAGCUUGGGACUAUUCAUAGCCUUGAGCACCGUGGGACGUCUUGGGAUUAGAUUUUGGGGCGUUACAGUUAAAGAGGUGCCAUUAUGACCUGACAAACUAGGUCCUGACAUGCUAUCAGCUAGAGACAGUGUUGAUCAGGAGAUUUAGUGAAAACCUAGAUGUGGUCAUUCUAGCAUUUGGUUUGACAAUUGGACGCAAUUAGGAGAUCUUCCGUAUUACUUCCCUAUUAAUCACAACAUUGAUGAGAACUUUGAUGAUAUGAGUUAACUACUAAAUCAAGAAAGUUGGAAUGAAGAAUUAAUGAUGGAUAUUCUUAAUGAAGAUGUUUGUAAUCAGGCGAGACAAGUGAUUAGGGUAAUUCAUAAUAGGGAUGACUGGGAUAAGGCAUGGUGGAUGCUAAGCAGUAUAGGAAAGUUUUCUGUUAAAUAUACGUGGGAGUUACUUAGACAGAGAAGACCACCUCUAGAUUUGAUCACCUCUAGAGUUGACCAUGAUUUUUUGGGAAUCAGGAAUCCCUUUCAUAGUCUCUUUCCUUACUUGAAGUCUUUGGAAGAAAAGGAUUCCUAUUGGAGAGGUUUUAGUGAAAAUAAAAGUGGUUAAAGAUAUGGUUUGUUGUUAAUACAACAAUAGUGAGCAUGAAACUUUUGACCACUUGUUCAUGAAGUGUCUAGAUUCAAACUACUCAUGGAGUAUAUUUGCAGGACCUGUAGGAGUACCUAGUCCUUUUGUGAUGUGGUGGAGUGCAGACACUAGUGCAAAACUGAAGCCUUUGUACUAGGUUGUUCCCAUUUUUAUUGUCUGACAGGUAUGAAAAAGAAGGAAUAGGAUUAGAAAUGGAGGAAGAAUGUAAACGACUAGCUUUUUGAUGAAAUAUGUGAAUUGUGUGUUUUUGUGUAAUUUGAUUGUUUCACCCCUCCCCAUAACUGUAUUAUGGUAUUUUUGGGAUGUAGGGGGUGAUUGGCAUGGUUCUCGAUGCAUUUUGGUACCAUUUAUGUAUAUUGUGGUUUUUGAUGACUUCCAAAGCUUUAUUUUAAACUUAUGUGGAUAUCUUUUGAUCUGUACGAUGGAUGGCUGAACGAACUACGCCAACAACUCCAGAAUAUUAAUUUUAGGCUAGGUAGACCUUUGGUUUGGGUCCUAGUGCAUUCAAGUUCAUUUCGACCUAUUGGUCAGAAAGUUGAAAAAUUGAAAAUAUGGGUGUGGGACCCACGUUUGGUCAAAACAACCUCAGAUAAAAAAUCUAACUUUUCCAGUAGAUUCAAAACGUCGAUUAUAGGGUGAUAACAUAUUUGAUGUGAUUUUACGGCUUUUCAAUCUCAUUUUGACCCUCGAUUUGGAAAAUUAUAAUUUCGGAUUUCGGUUGUCAACUAUGUGAAAAUGAUAUUUUUUUGAAAAUCUGAAAUCACCAUUGAAUUUGGAGAGUCAAAUUUAGUGUGGUUACAUAGUUUGUUUAUUUAUAUUAGACUCCGAACGAAUUCUGAGCACCCCAUCGAAGUUUGUCCGGACUUAUAAAAAAAUUGGUGUAGAUUUUUCUGCAUUAUUAAUAGCAGUUUUCAAGCCCAUUUUGUUCAUUUUUCAUCUGGCCUCUUGAGAGUUAAACCCUAAAAAUAGUGUGGGAGCUUAAAAGUGAAGCUUGUGGAAGCUUGGGAAGCAAGAUUAACAUCUAUUUCUUGAUUCUAUUACGGAUUUAAGGUAAGAAUUCAACAUAUUCUUAGUCAUUUCUUGAUUAAUUUCUCAACACCUCAAAAAUCUUAGGGCUUGAUUUUAAACCUCAAUUUCACUCCUUUUUCACUUGAAUAAUAUUUUAAUCUUAUAAUUAUGAGUGUUUCAUCAAUUUAACAUUCAAAACAAUUCCAAUUCUUAGUUUUCACCCGAAUUUCAAAGAUUUUAUCUAGUACAACUUAAAAAUAGUUUUUCUUUGAUUUUAACCUUAUUUUUGACUCGAUUUGACUUGAAUUUUCAUAUGUAGGAUCCUACAAAUAUGGGAAACACGUUUUUGAAGUAAAGUUAUGAUUUUGCUCUUCUUUUUCAAAAAUCCAUUUCGGGGAGUUUGUUUUGACCCCGAACCAAAAAAAUUACUCAAUAUGGGUGUCGUUGAUUUUGUUUUGAUGCGUAGAUUCCAUAUUUGAUGUUUUUAGUGAAGCUCGGUACCAUUUGUGAGGAGUAAAACUUUGGGAGCAAAGUCUUGAUUCCGAUAUUUUAGUUUUUGAGGUAGGUUAUGACUUAACUCUUUCAGACUGGGCUAGUAGUAAAUGAUGGUAGAAAAUACAUGUUGAGGCUGAGAACUAAUCAUGAAAAAUGGGUAUCUAUGUGUGUUUCCAUGUGGGGGCCUAUAUGUAAUGUAAUUGUUGAAAUUAAGAUAUUAUGUGAUAGUGUGAUCGUGUGCGAUCCUAUGUGAUGUAGAUAGCCUUAAAUAUAUAUGAAUAAUUGUAUUGUGUUGUUGAAAUGUCUAAUGUGAUGUCAUUGGUGUAUUGAGAUAUAUUCAUACUUGUUAUAUGAGACGUGUAAAUUCAUGGAUGAAACAAAAAUAAUAAGUGAAUUAUUGGCUCAUGUGGUUGUGGAAAUGUAUAAUUAUGGUUGGUUGUGGAAAUAUAUUAUUGUGGCUGGUUAUGAAAAUACUCAUUGUGAUUGGUUGUGGUCAUUACAUCUUCAUAUCAUACUCAUUCAUGAAACAUUGGUACCACCAUGGCAACAUCUGAAAAACACUGACAAUACCUUUAAUAAAACCCUCCCCAAGGGAAGUGCUGGGAGGAGAUAUUGCAACACCUUAUAAAACUCUUUCCGAGAGACAUGUCAAAAAGUUCAUAUGAGAUAUGUGGAUUGUAUACGGAUUGACGAACUCCCCAUGGGUCCUAUCCUACAUCGAGAAGCUUUAGUUCCGUAGGUGUAUACAGGGAUUGUGCGACGAUCCCGGAGGUUGUGCAACGACCUCGUGCAUCAUCAUCAUUAUCAUAUACAUUGUACUUACUUUAUUAUGUUUAUGUUGUUUUGUAUUGCCAUAUUGACUUGUCAUCUAUGUAUUUCUCUUACCUUCCUUUACUUAUAUUUGAUGAUCUUGUAUCCACAUGUUCUCCUUUGUUCUACUUAUAUGUGGCAUAAUGCAUUCUUGUGUUCUAUCUUGGUGUGUUAUUGUAAUAUAGGUGAUAUAUUAGAACUGUUAGUGUAACCGGUGUAAGCUAUCGUUGUGAGAUAUUUUCUGAUUACAGAUGACAUACCCUUAGUGUGUAUUUUGUAUGCUUCAUUUUUUCUACUUUGCUUGGUUGGUCUAUGAUACCUACUUAGUAUAAGUGGACCGUACUCACUCCUACUUCAUCCUUUUGGUGCACCUUUAGGUUCGAGUGCGCCUUAGACUAGUUAAUUUUUGGGCACCUUCAGAUUACUCAAGGUAGCGGUUGGACAUUCAUACGUCCGUAGUUCACCUCUAUCUUUCUAUAUUAGUUAUGUCUUUAUUAGUAUUUGGAGACAGAUAUUAUUCCUUUGUGGUUAUUUUUCUGAUGUAUUUGACUCCUGGAUAGUAUUAGUAGUUCUUACACCAUUGACAACAGGUUUUGGGAGUUAUGGCUGCAUGUGUUGAUUUUAUUUUUUCCACUUGUAUUAUAUCUAUAUGGUUCAGCUUUAUUCUAGAAGCCUUAUCUUGGGGGGCAUUUCUAUUUUUUUUUGUGUGUAUCAGUUUGGGUGAGACUUACUUGUCAAGGUUCGCCGCGACAAGUGCCAUCAUGACCCUUAUUUUUGGGUCGUGACAAGGAAUGUUAAAACAUGACAUGGUUAUGGAGAUUAACAGGAAUCUGUAUAUGUUUCCAAAAUUAGAUUCCCUUGGCUUAAGGAAAUCCCUGAUUCAUGGCCAAUGAUAGUUAAAAUGUUUGAAGAGUACACCCUCAUUGUUUCUUGCAAAAUUGUCUGACGGAAACAUCCGUAAAGGGAUUACAAAUGUAAUUUAGAUGGGGCAUAAAUAGAAUUCUGGGCCUUAUGCUAGUGGCUUUUGCAUAAAAAAUAAAGAUGAAGACUUUAUUUAUGCUGCAUCAAACACAGUUAAAGAGGGGUCUGGACUAGAAGCUGAGGUGAAAGCUAUGAGAUUAGCCCGGGAGUUUUGUAUAGGCAAAAAUCUGUUACCUCUGACCAUGGAAAUAUAUUCCCUCAUAAUCAAUAAGAUUCUUGAUGGUAUAUGAGAGAUGCCCUGGACAAUUACCAUAGAGAUAAUAAGGAUAAAACAAUUGAUGGAGAAUAAUUUGGAGGAUGUGGAGCAUACAUUUCGAGAAGGCAAUAAAUUGACCGAUUUUUUCACUAACAUUAUUUUUAGUUUUGCAGGUACAAAUAACAUACAAUUUAGCUCAAUACAGGAGGUUCUGGAAUAAGAAAGGAAAAUCAUAAAUUUAGAGAAAAACAAAACUACAUAUUUAAGGAUAAGGAAACGUCACAACAGGUGUUUCAAUCAACCACAGGGACAAACACAAUCACACAAGCAGAUUGAUUUAAACAUACAAAUAACCAGCUGAAGUGGGCUAUAAUAAAAAUGAACUGAGAAAGUAGGAAGAAAGGACUUGCCCUUUAGCUCUGAGCCUUUUGCAGAGGUAUUAGCUUCAAGGAGAUCAUUUUGCAAAGGGUAAGGAAAUGAAAAAAAAAUCAAUCAAAAAAGCAUUUCAUACCAAAUUAUGGGAAUUGGAAUUUGACUUUACCUCAUCGUGAAGAGCUGGAAUACUGGUAAUGAGCUGAAGAAGUCUUCAACGAGUUGAAUUCAUGGCGCCUGUGAGAAUUUGUUGGGUGUUUAAGUUAACAUCAGUCAAUCACACUGAUGAUAUAAACCGUCUUCUACGAGAUGAUAAGAUCAAUGAGAUCUAUGGGUGCAGCAGUUCGCAAGUCACCGACAAUGGUUGGCCGAUCAACCAGGGAUUUAGUACUUUGGAGCUUUUACAGAUUUCCUAAUUUGGUUGUAAAUAUUAGCUUAGACUUGUUUUGUCUGUUUUUUGUUAUUUCGGGUAUGGGCUUUGGUCUCUUUUGGGACAUUGCCCAUUACCAUUUGAACCUUUGUUUUCUGAUUUUCUAAUAAAUGGCAUGGCCCGUAUUUACUUUAAACUACCCUCCUUCAUCAUAAAAAAUAUUUCACUUUAUUCAAGAAUUGUGGUUUGGUUAUAAAAU